rnacentral:rRNA from 1 species
UACUGGGGGGGCAAGCGUUGUUCGGAAUUACUGGGCGUAAAGGGCUCGUAGGCGGCCAACUAAGUCAGACGUGAAAUCCCUCGGCUUAACCGGGGAACUGCGUCUGAUACUGGAUGGCUUGAGAUUGGGAGAGGGAUGCGGAAUUCCAGGUGUAGCGGUGAAAUGCGUAGAUAUCUGGAGGAACACCGGUGGCGAAGGCGACAUCCUGGACCAACACUGACGCUGAGGAGCGAAAGCCAGGGGAGCAAACGGG